GCGUGAGUGAUAGAAGGCCUUCGGGUUGUAAAGCUCUUUCGGCAGGGAAGAAAUCGGUUGGGAUAAUACCCCAUCUGGAUGACGGUACCGGAAUAAGAAGCACCGGCUAACUACCUGCCAGCAGCCGCGGUAAUACCUAGGGUGCGAGCGUUAAUCGGAAUUACUGGGCGUAAAGCGUGCGCAGGCGGUUUUUUAAGACAGGCGUGAAAUCCCCGGGCUUAACCUGGGAACUGCGCUUGUGACUGGAAGGCUAGAGUACGGCAGAGGGGGGUGGAAUUCCACGUGUAGCAGUGAAAUGCGUAGAGAUGUGGAGGAACAC
rnacentral:rRNA from 1 species